UCUAGAAAUACACCGAGGAUGGAAUGGAGGGAGAGCAGCACAGAUGGGAUAAUGUGCUCUUGUCUGGUUUUAUUUAGUAGAAAUAAUGAGUUUAACUUCAUGUAGCAUUAGUCAAAGAUGCUUUAAAACUUCCAAGUGGGCAUUGAUGUAGGGAGCCAUAGCUAUAUACAAAGUCCAGUGUGUUAGAAUGAGCUGAGGAGAGAACUGGAUAUAAGGAAAAGGAGGAACCAAGUAUUAGCUUUUGUGAUAUUGCCUGAAGCUUCUGACCAAAUAGUAGAAGAGCUCUUAAAACCAAUCAUGUUACAAGAAAAAAUGCCUGUUUUAGAAAACUGAUCAGAUAAUCCCUUUACAGUGGCAUGGCUUCUACAAAGGACCCAUGUGCUCAGGGGAUUAUACCUUCUGUUUACACAGGAAUAAAUAUGCAUUUUAUUUAUCAUCUGCAUUUUAAA
rnacentral:lncRNA from 1 species